rnacentral:rRNA from 1 species
ACGCUGGCGGCAUGCUUUACACAUGCAAGUCGGACGGCAGCGGGGUAGUGCUUGCACUACUGCCGGCGAGUGGCGAACGGGUGAGUAAUAUAUUGGAACGUACCGAGUAAUGGGGGAUAACCAAUCGAAAGAUUGGCUAAUACCGCAUACGCUCUGAGGAGGAAAGCAGGGGACCUUCGGGCCUUGCGUUAUUCGAGCGGCCAAUAUCUGAUUAGCUAGUUGGUGGGGUAAAGGCCUACCAAGGCGACGAUCAGUAGCGGGUCUGAGAGGAUGAUCCGCCACACUGGGACUGAGACACGGCCCAGACUCCUACGGGAGGCAGCAGUGGGGAAUUUUGGACUAUGGGCGCAAGCCUGAUCCAGCCAUGCCGCGUGUCUGAAGAAGGCCUUCGGGUUGUAAAGGACUUUUGUUAGGGAAGAAAAAGGAGCGGUUAAUACCCGUUUCUGCUGACGGUACCUAAAGAAUAAGCACCGGCUAACUACGCGCCAGCAGCCGCGGUAAUACGUAGGGUGCGAGCGUUAAUCGGAAUUACUGGGCGUAAAGCGAGCGCAGACGGUUACUUAAGCAGGAUGUGAAAUCCCCGGGCUUAACCUGGGAACUGCGUUCUGAACUGGGUGGCUAGAGUAUGUCAGAGGGGGGUAGAAUUCCACGUGUAGCAGUGAAAUGCGUAGAGAUGUGGAGGAAUACCGAUGGCGAAGGCAGCCCCCUGGGAUAAUACUGACGUUCGUGCUCGAAAGCGUGGGUAGCAAACAGGAUUAGAUACCCUGGUAGUCCACGCCCUAAACGAUGUCGAUUAGCUGUUGGGCAGCUUGACUGCUUAGUAGCGUAGCUAACGCGUGAAAUCGACCGCCUGGGGAGUACGGUCGCAAGAUUAAAACUCAAAGGAAUUGACGGGGACCCGCACAAGCGG